AAAAUCAAUCAAUAACUGGUCAUUGCAGUAUAGAAGUGAGAAUUAA
rnacentral:guide_RNA from 1 species